GUUAGGUCUUGGCCCCGCCGGAGAAGCAAAUCGGACGGAAUCAGAGAGAUGGUGCCGGAUUCAAAACCCUAAAAUCUCUCUCCGGCGCUCGUAAUUCUCGAACAUGGUGCCGCCCUUCUUCUAUUCGGGACCUGAAGUCGCAUCUGCAAGAGUUAAUUCCGGAACAGCAGGGGGAACAAUCUUUGCUCAUCAAUUCAGUUAGAUGGCCUCAGAGCUCUACCGACCUGGCUAUUGCAAAGUUUGUCGUUGAACAAGGAAGAAUCAGAAUUCUAGCUGGUUUGGCGAAGUCAAUGAACUGACUUGUGGCUGACGAAGCUGCUGGUGGACUACGGAAUCUCUCUGUCGGAGAAGAGCAUAAGGGAGAUCAUCAUUAAGACUAGAGACCAUGUUCAACUUCAAUGAAACGUAAUACGUUCUGUGAUUUAGUACAGAUCUCGACAGAUCCAGCUUUGCCUGCACCACAAAGAAGUACACCACAUGCAUCUGCUAGACUUUUCAGGAAUUUAAUCUUCAAGCAGUGAAAAGGGCUAACCAACAUGCAUAAACCAUCUUCAAUAGCUUCACCAAUAAUAAUUGGAGGCCUCACUUUACUGAACCAAGGAGCCUUGUAGCCCUGUGAACAAAAAGGUCUGAAUGCUGAGUUAAGAUAUGAGUACUUGGAGAAAAGUUGUCUGAUGAUGAAUCCAUUGCACUUUGGCCACAAAAUCAGUCUCAGUCUCAAGCCAAAGGCAAUCAUUUGAAAAAUGUGAAAAGGGAAACGAGUAUUGCUCUGACCUGCUUCAAGAUCCUUCAUUUGAAUUCACUCACGACUCCUGCCAAUGGCUUGAAUGAAUGCUUGACUACAAUGUACGUGGCAGUGAUAGGAGGAGCCUCUCAGACAUUUUGUUCUGUUUUUAUAUUUAUUUCUGCAGGGAAGCAAGCUCUAUCGUGGUCUCUCUGAUCCAUGUAUGCCAAAAGGAAAGUAACUAAGGUACCACACCGUGCUCUUUUGAUGUUUCAAGAAGUCUUGGCAUCUGCUCUCAGGUAUGGGGGUACCUACAUGUACACAAUGAUUAAAUAAGGGGGAAAUAACAAAAACAAGAGUAAAUAAUUAAAAGACAAAUAAUUUUGCUGUCCAACUAUAUAUAAAAAAAAAAGUAUCAAACGGGUUUUUAGAAGAUCGAUCAAAAGCUCUUUCUUUUAGAGAAUUAGCCAGACCAACUUGGAGCAUUGAAAUUCGAAUGAACAGAAACCAAAAAUCACAAUCAAGAUGGAACGAGCUUAACAAGUGAUAAACGAACUGAAGAAAUCGAAACCUGUUGUAGAAGACCGAAAGAGCUGCUCUUCGGGUUCAUUCACCCUCUUCUUGUUUUGACGAAGGAUCAAGGAAGUGACAUCGUUAUCAAGAAAACAAAUUUCACAUACAUAAAUCACAUAGAAUUUAAGUUAUGCCUUAGAAACGAAUCUACGAUUUUACGUAUGGUCCUAAUAUUAAUUAUCACAUGUUAAAUAUGAUUUUAAUGAUUUUUAACUUCUAAUGAUUAUCUGCAUUAUGGUUGAGACUUGAGAUGGUCAAGUUAGUUAGUCGUUCAUUUUCUCCUCUUCUAUAUCAUGGUUGUACACAUGUGUGAUGUGUGCUCAUUUCUAAAAUUAGU